ensembl:miRNA Gm24328 predicted gene, 24328
GGUACCUGGGCUGGCUCACACUCCACUGGCCCUGGCCCUGGCCCUGGUCCUGGUCCUGGCCUUGGCC